GGUUAAGUUAAUAAGGGCGCACGGUGGAUGCCUUGGCACUAGAAGCCGAAGAAGGACGUGACAAACGACGAAAUGCUUUGGGGAGCUGUAAGUAAGCGCUGAUCCAGAGAUGUCCGAAUGGGGGAACCCACUAACUAAUGGUUAGUAUCCAUAACUGUUAAGGUUAUGAGAAGGAAGACGCAGUGAACUGAAACAUCUAAGUAGCUGCAGGAAGAGAAAGCAAACGCGAUUGCCUUAGUAGCGGCGAGCGAAACGGCAGGAGGGCAAACCGAAGUGUUUACACUUCGGGGUUGUAGGACUGCGACGUGGGACUUUAAAAGGAUAGAAGAAUUACCUGGGAAGGUAAGCCAAAGAGAGUAAAAGCCUCGUAUUUAAAAUUCUUUUGAGCCCUAGCAGUAUCCUGAGUACGGCGAGACACGUGAAAUCUCGUUGGAAUCUGGGAGGACCAUCUCCCAACCCUAAAUACUCUCUAGUGACCGAUAGUGAACCAGUACCGUGAGGGAAAGGUGAAAAGCACCCCGGGAGGGGAGUGAAAUAGAACCUGAAACCGUGUGCCUACAACAAGUUCGAGCCCGUUAAUGGGUGAGAGCGUGCCUUUUGUAGAAUGAACCGGCGAGUUACGAUAUGAUGCGAGGUUAAGUUGAAGAGACGGAGCCGUAGGGAAACCGAGUCUUAAUAGGGCGAUUUAGUAUCAUGUUGUAGACCCGAAACCAUGUGACCUACCCAUGAGCAGGUUGAAGG
rnacentral:rRNA from 1 species